rnacentral:rRNA from 1 species
GACGAGAGAGAAGGAGCUUGCUUCUUCGAUCGAGUGGCGAACGGGUGAGUAACGCGUGAGGAACCUGCCUCAAAGAGGGGGACAACAGUUGGAAACGACUGCUAAUACCGCAUAAGCCCACGGGUCGGCAUCGACCUGAGGGAAAAGGAGUGAUCCGCUUUGAGAUGGCCUCGCGUCCGAUUAGCUGGUUGGUGAGGUAACGGCCCACCAAGGCGACGAUCGGUAGCCGGACUGAGAGGUUGAACGGCCACAUUGGGACUGAGACACGGCCCAGACUCCUACGAGAGGCAGCAGUGGGGAAUAUUGCACAAUGGGGGAAACCCUGAUGCAGCGACGCCGCGUGGAGGAAGAAGGUCUUCGGAUUGUAAACUCCUGUUGUUGAGGAAGAUAAUGACGGUACUCAACAAGGAAGUGACGGCUAACUACGUGCCAGCAGCCGCGGUAAAACGUAGGUCACAAGCGUUGUCCGGAAUUACUGGGUGUAAAGGGAGCGCAGGCGGGAAGACAAGUUGGAAGUGAAAUCUAUGGGCUCAACCCAUAAACUGCUUUCAAAACUGUUUUUCUUGAGUAGUGCAGAGGUAGGCGGAAUUCCCGGUGUAGCGGUGGAAUGCGUAGAUAUCGGGAGGAACACCAGUGGCGAAGGCGGCCUACUGGGCACCAACUGACGCUGAGGCUCGAAAGUGUGGGUAGCAAACAGGAUUAGAUAC